rnacentral:misc_RNA from 1 species
CACCAAUCACGCCUGGCGUGGUAUUGGGCGACGGGGUGCUCACGCUCCCCGCGCCCCAAAGACCUUACCGGCGGGACGGACCGAAUCUCAGCGUUGUGAAUCUUUUACGAGUCGCUGGCGAGACGGGACGGCCGUGCCGCUAAACCCCAAUUUUCCACAU